rnacentral:rRNA from 1 species
AUUGAACGCUGGCGGCAGGCCUAACACAUGCAAGUCGAACGAGUGGCGGACGGGUUAGUAAUGUCUGGGAAACUGCCCGAUGGAGGGGGAUAACUACUGGAAAAGGUAGCUAAUACCGCAUACCAUCGGAUGUGCCCAGAUGGGAUUAGCUAGUAGGUGGGGUAACGGCUCACCUAGGCGACGAUCCCUAGCUGGUCUGAGAGGAUGACCAGCCACACUGGAACUGAGACACGGUCCAGACUCUUACGGGAGGGAGGAGUGGGGAAUAUUGCAAAAUGGGAGAAAGCCUGAUGCAGCCAUGCCGGGUGUAUGAAGAAGGCCAUCGGGUUGUAAAGUACUUUCAGCGAGGAGGGGUUACUCGCAGAAGAAGCACCGGCUAACUCCGUGCCAGCAGCCGCGGUAAUUC